rnacentral:lncRNA from 1 species
AACAAGGAAAACAAACCAGUCGUCUUCUUCCUCUCACCUCACCUAUUCAAAUAAUUCCGAAUCACCCCCAAAUUUUCCACCAAAAAAUUCAAUACCUAUACUUCAAAGAAGAUAAAACUGCAUUUUGUUUCAUUCACUUCUAUACAAUUUCUUUUUUUUUUUUCUUUUUUAAUUAUUCUGAAAUGAGCACAAGAGAGCUUCUCAAGAAUCUCAACAUUGAACCUGUAGAACUGAAAUUCGCUUGUGGGUUCUUCUCCUCAAAUCCCAUUUUUGAUUUCUCCAUUUUUCUUUUUUAAAUUGGGUAUGUUGAUUUUUCCUAUUUUUGAUUUAUGUUUUUACUUUUCUUGACAUAAUUAGUUGCGCUGAAGAACAGAUCUCAUGUUCUCUCCAAGUAUCGAAUAAGACCGAAAAUCAUGUAACUGUCAUGGUUAUUUUUUUGGGUUUUGUAUUUAAUUUUUCCUUUUUAUUUGAAUGAAGCCGGAGACGAGGCUGAGGGUAGGAGCGAUAUAGACGACGGUAUGUACAGAAGAGAACUGUCUGAGGAAGGACAGAAGACUGUGUUUGUGAAGAUGAAGGAUUGAACUGAUUGUGAAUAGCCAAGAGUUUGAUACGACGGCGUUUCCAUACCCGGUGAUGGUGGCCGGAUAGAAGACUCUGUUUGUUUAACUAAUUUUCGGGUAGAGGUAGG